CUCCCAGAGUGCUAGGAUUACAGAAGUUUGUGCUAAUUGCACGUUAACCAUCCUACGUGUACGACUGCUGACAAGACCUACAGGACUCAAACAGUUUAUACUCAUGCUUGAUUACAGGCAAAGAUGCAAAAGUGGAAGAUGGAAACACACUGAAGGGCCCAGGAAAUGAAAAGAGAAGGCCAGGCCUGAGGAGGUCUCUGCAGAAGCCCGUGGAUGGAGCUAUGGGAGUGAGUGUGUGCAGGUCCAAGUAGCAC